GGGUCGUAGCUUUGCUCAGGAUUGGGGCCGGUUAGGCAGCUGCUGGGAGGAGUGGCGGUGCUGGGAGGGCACGGUGCGGAGCUGUCCUGCUGUGCAGCGCAAGGGAAAGUCGACCAGCACCGUUGCUGUCCGAGGACCCUGGAACAGCCCGAGAGACCCUGGAACAGCCACCCCACGGACACCGUGUCACUGCCUCGCAAGGCCACUGCAUGCAGGGUAGCCCACCGAAGGGGGACAUCUCGAAGAGAAGCAGCAAGAGCUGGGGAUCCGGUGGUUCAUUUUGGUCGUCGCCUGUGAGGCCAGCAUGCAAGAGUAAGAGGAAGCUAGGAGCAGUCUCAAAAAGAGGUGGAACCAAGGACAGCAAAUGCUGACGAGGAGAAGAGACGGACGAGCGUUUGCUUGCGGUUAAUACCGAAGGGAGGGGAUGAAACAAGGAAGCCAGAAUGCAGCGGCCCCUCGAUAUCACCAGGAACUGCUACAGGAGGAGGCGUUCUGGCACGGGUAACUAGGGGUAGCCCACCGAAGGGGGACAUCUCGAAGAGAAGCAGCAAGAGCUGGGGAUCCGGUGGUUCAUUUUGGUCGUCGCCUGUGAGGCCAGCAUGCAAGAGUAAGAGGAAGCUAGGAGCAGUCUCAGAAAGAGGUGGAACCGAGGACAGCAAAUGCUGACAAGGAGAAGAGACGGACGAGCGUUUGCUUGCGGUUAAUACCGAAGGGAGGGGAUGAAACAAGGAAGCCAGAAUGCAGCGGCCCCUCGAUAUCACCAGGAACUGCUACAGGAGGAGGCGUUCUGGCACGGGUAACUAGGAUUAAUUGCCACGGCUGAAGUUGAAGAGACCAAGAAACGUAAGCUGCAAAGGGGCACAUCUUGAAGAGAGGGGGCUAGACCUAGCGAUGCAGUUGUUCGUUUUGGUCGUCGCCUGUGAGGCCAGCAUGCAAGAGUAAGAGGAAGCUAGGAGCAGUCUCAAAAAGAGGUGGAACCAAGGACAGCAAAUGCUGACGAGGAGAAGAGACGGACGAGCGUUUGCUUGCGGUUAAUACCGAAGGGAGGGGAUGAAACAAGGAAGCCAGAAUGCAGCGGCCCCUCGAUAUCACCAGGAACUGCUACAGGAGGAGGCGUUCUGGCACGGGUAACUAGGGUAAGUAUGGCUAAUGACCGUUAGCAGUUAUUUUGGCCUCCCCGAGGCAGCGCUGAGGACUAAGUAACCUGAGGGGCUCUGGCCUGGGUUGGGGCAGAAGUGCAGGCAGGCGGGAUCAGGCAUUUUCCUCUCAGCUCUCCGAGCUGAAUCCUAGCCCUGAAGGAAAAAGCACUGGGGGGAGGCUACUCGGACACCUGCCAUGUCGAGGGCAGGGGCAGGAGCUGACCCUUCCCCGACGGACGGACGUACGGACAGACGCUGGUGCGGCGGUGACUCUUUGGAUAUCGUAGGUAAGGGGAGGCACGCUGGUGCCGAGCUCCAGGGCGGUUUGCCUGAACACGAUGCCUGAGGCAGGAGGUUACGCAUUGUGUCCGGGGCUGGGAGCUGGUCCCCGAGUCCCAUGUACUUGGGAGUGCCUGCGCUUGCCAGGGUGCCCGGUGCUGUUCCCAGAGCUGCGGGGAAUUUCCCUUGCGUUGCCUGGACCCUCGGGGCUCUUGGGGGUGUUUCCCCUCAUCGCGAGGGCUGCCAGAGCCCCUCCAGGGCUGCGUGAGGUCCCCGAACCGCUCCCGGAUUUGCUUUUGGCACUCCGCAGUGUCGCUCGUGUGCCUGGGGCAGCCUGCAGGCGCCAUCCUGUCAGCCGCGUUGAGCCCUGCGGCGUGCCUGGUGACCCCUCUGGUGUGCGCCAAGGCCCUUCCUCUGUAUUUUGGUCUGCCCCAGAGCCCUGCACUUGCCCUCUGAUGCCCUCAGGACCCCUCAGUUCACAUUCUGGGUUGCCCCCGAGCCCUCUGCGUGCCUUUCGGUGCGCCCCGUGGCCCCGUGUGUGUUUUGCGGCACGCCGCAGAGGUCUCUGUUUAGCUUUUUCUCCUGUCCUGGAGUUUUCUGGGUGCUUCUGGGUGUGCCCCAGGGCCCUCCUUUUGGUGCCCCCCGAGUCACUCUGUUUGCUCUAUCGUUGUUCUUUUUUUUUUUUUUUCUUGACUUGUGUUGCACCCAGAGCUCUCGAUUUGUUCUCUUGUGCUCCGCAUACUCCCCUUUCCGCACUCGACACCCCAGGCAGGGCUCUCCCUUCAGCUCUCAGCAAGCUGCUGUCAGGAGAGUGGGGGUGCCUCUGCUGCCCUGGCAGCCCCAGCUGUCCCUGAAGGGGCUGAUGGCCAGGCCCCCUGCCCAGUUCCUGCAGGCCCACAGCUGCGGGCCCUGGGGCUGGGAUGAAUGCCAGGGGGAGCUGGGUGGCAGGACAGGCCCCAGGUGGGGCUGAUGGCAAGGGCAGGCCCACAUUUGGGGGCUGGGGCCGCAGCUGGGGGGAGCUGGCGCUGGGGCAGGAGCUGGGCAGCGGAGCUGCCACGGAGCACGGCCCUUCGGGCCCAGCCCGGCGGCCGCCCCGCGGAGGAGGUGAGCGAGGCCGGGGGAGGCGCGCUGCAGGCUGCGGGUCCCGCAUGUGCCGGGGGUCCCGGCGGCUGGGAGCGUCCCGGGGCCACGGAGGCGGGGGGAGGAAGGGGGUGCGCCGGGGC